rnacentral:lncRNA from 1 species
GAUCUUUUAUACAUAUCUCAUUAUAUAAGAUAAAUAAGGAGUUUAUCAAAUGAAUUCUCAAAAAACUCCUUUUAACUUGCGAAUCUAUAAGCCUUCAGCGGCAGCACUUGGUGCAGACUGGGGGAACCACCUCUAUGUUGCAGUCACAACAGGCUUUUUGGCAUGUGCUCGUGCAUGCUGCAAAUACAAAACCAAAAAAAAAUAUAAAAAAUAAAAUACAAUUAAAAGCAAAAAUGACAAUGUCAAAUAAGUAGCAAAUACAUACCAAAAGUAUUUUUAGAAAGUUUGAUCUUAAAACAUAUCGUGACAUUUCUAUGACUAUAGAAAAAUAUUAUUAAAGAUAAAACAAAAAGUUUAAAGUUAAUUUUUUUUAAAUAUAAAAAGAUUUAUUGUUUACAAAAAUCGACUUAAAAGAAAGAGCGCUAUACAAAAUGAAAAGGAAAUAGAAUUGUACGGAAGAUAAUAACAUCUAAUGCUCGCCCAUGCUGCAGACGGCUAACGACAAGCGGCUUUGGGGAAUUAGCUCCAGCUUCAACCUCCACACAAGUUAUAGAGGCCCACAGAACAAGAAUAGAGGCAAUUACUAAGAACUUUGCCAUGAUUUCACCAAUUUAAAAAUGAAAAACAACCAGGAAAUUGUAG